GAUGAACGCUGGCGGCGUGCUUAACACAUGCAAGUCGAACGGUGAAGCAGGAGCUUGCUCUUGUGGAUCAGUGGCGAUCGGGUGAGUAACACGUGAGCAACCUGCCCCUGGCUCUGGGAUAAGCGCUGGAAACGGCGUCUAAUACUGGAUAUGUGAUGUGACCGCAUGGUCUGCAUCUGGAAAGAAUUUCGGUUGGGGAUGGGCUCGCGGCCUAUCAGCUUGUUGGUGAGGUAAUGGCUCACCAAGGCGUCGACGGGUAGCCGGCCUGAGAGGGUGACCGGCCACACUGGGACUGAGACACGGCCCAGGCUCCUACGGGAGGCAGCAGUGGGGAAUAUUGCACAAUGGGCGGAAGCCUGAUGCAGCAACGCCGCGUGAGGGAUGACGGCCUUCGGGUUGUAAACCUCUUUUAGCAGGGAAGAAGCGAAAGUGACGGUACCUGCAGAAAAAGCACCGGCUAACUACGUGCCAGCAGCCGCGGUAA
rnacentral:rRNA from 1 species